AGCUAUGCUUGAGAUUCGCCAUAAAACUACGACGGAGGAAACGAGACGGUCUUUUCCGGUUUGGACAGAGAAGGAGUGCGGCAGCUCAGACAUCAUGGCCCCAGAGACCAGGCUCCUCAGAAGAUGGAUGAUCACUCGCAGGUUCAUGAGAUGUUUGCCAGGUUCAGUUAGCUUUCUUGGACGGUGGUGUAAUCCUGAGUGAGAAGUGCGCUGGCUCCAUUUUCCUUUCUCCUUGUGAGCCUGAUAACAGCAGCUGAUGACUACAGGAGAGUUCACUCGCUGAAGCUCCUGCAGAUGCUGAUGAAUGCUGUCAUUGACGGCACUGUAUGGAGCGGUGAACACUCCUGACUGAAGCGCCAUUGGAGUAUCAUCAGCCUCCACAGCACCACUGAAGAUGAGCGGGAAAGUGUGAAGCCCAACUGUUAAACGUGUUUCUGUUUCUUCAGAAAUGUGCAGUUGUGGUCUAAGCUGCACUCCUUUGUGUAAUAUACUGCCAUCACAUGAUGACUGGCCUGUUAUGCUUUUAAAGGACUGCUGAAUAAGUGUAUUGCAUCUAAACCUCAUGUAAGUGUUGUCACAGAUCUGCCAGGUUCAGUCUCCACCCAAUCCCAGCAAUCCAGCUCUCCUGAAUAUUAAUCAGUCACACCUGCACUUAAUCAGCCACUCAGCACCGUCACUACUUUAAUGCACACCACAGUUCACCCAGCGUCCGAGCUUAUACUCAUAAAGAGGACUUUGCUCCUGCAAAAAGACCCCAUCGUCUCCUCUGGUCCUGUCGUUGUUAUGGUGUGUAACAUCAUUCUCUGGAAAAGAUGAGGACUGUGUUCAGCUUAGAUGCAUCUCCUGCUUCUGACUGUCUGCCAUUUAUCAUACUGACCUGUUCCAUCUGCAAAGUUCUCUUUAUGCUCUUGUGUAAAUAAACCUUGUCAACAUUUUACCUACA